rnacentral:rRNA from 1 species
AGAGUUUGAUCAUGGCUCAGGAUGAACGCUGGCGGUAUGCUUAACACAUGCAAGUCGAACGAAAUCUUCGGAUUUAGUGGCGGACGGGUGAGUAACGCGUGAGAAUCUACUCUUAGAUUGGGGACAACAGUUGGAAACGACUGCUAAUACCGAAUGUGCCGAAAGGUAAAAGAUUUAUCGUCUGAGAAUGAGCUCGCGUUGGAUUAGCUAGUUGGAGUGGUAAUGGCACACCAAGGCGACGAUCCAUAACUGGUCUGAGAGGAUGACCAGUCACACUGGGACUGAGACACGGCCCAGACUCCUACGGGAGGCAGCAGUGGGGAAUUUUCCGCAAUGGGCGAAAGCCUGACGGAGCAAUACCGCGUGAGGGAGGAAGGCUCUUGGGUCGUAAACCUCUUUUAUUAGGGAAGAAGAUCUGACGGUACCUAAUGAAUCAGCUCGAUCCCCC